rnacentral:rRNA from 1 species
CUCGACUAUAUGAAGCUGGAAUCGCUAGUAAUCGUAGAUCAGCAUGCUACGGUGAAUACGUUCCCGGGUCUUGUACACACCGCCCGUCACACCACGAGAGUUUGUAACACCCGAAGUCGGUGAGGUAACCUUUUAGGAGCCAGCCGCCUAAGGUGGGAUAGAUGAUUGGGGUGAAGUCGAAACAAGGUAGCCGUAUCGGAAG